CCCUUAGAUGUUCUGGGCCGCACGCGCGCUACACUGAUGCAUUCAACGAGUUUCUUCCUGGUCCGAGAGGAAUGGGUAACCUUUUGAAAGUGCAUCGUGAUAGGGAUAGACUAUUGCAAUUAUUGGUCUUCAACGAGGAAUUCCUAGUAGACGUAGUUCAUCAGACUGCAUCGAUUACGUCCCUGCCCUUUGUACACACCGCCCGUCGCUCCUACCGAUUGAAUGCUCAGGUGAGCCAUUCGGACUUUCAUCAUGCUGGUUUCCAGUUUUGAUGAAGGAAAGUCUGGCGAACCUUAUCAUUUAGAGGAAGGAGAAGUCGUAACA
rnacentral:rRNA from 1 species